rnacentral:rRNA from 1 species
UACGUAGGGACCAAGCGGUGUUCGGAUUUACUGGGCGUAAAGGGCGCGUAGGCGGCGUGGUAAGUCACUUGUGAAAUCUCUGAGCUUAACUCAGAACGGCCAAGUGAUACUGCUGUGCUAGAGUGCAGAAGGGGCAAUCGGAAUUCUUGGUGUAGCGGUGAAAUGCGUAGAUAUCAAGAGGAACACCUGAGGUGAAGACGGGUUGCUGGGCUGACACUGACGCUGAGGCGCGAAAGCCAGGGGAGCAAACGGG